GCCGGGUGCAGUGAUGCACACCUGUAAUCCCAGCAGCUCAGGAGGCUGAGGAAGGAGGAUCAGGAGUUCAAAGCCAGCCUCAGCAACUCAGUGAGACUCUGUCUCUA
rnacentral:sRNA from 1 species